UGUGGCAUCCCGAAAAUUCAAAGCCAAGCCUUAAGAUUAGCACUAUGCCGCUACCUGCUGUUUCGCGUGGGGUAUUUUACGGUCUACCGUCUGAUGUUGAGGUGGAGUGUACGGAGAUAGAUUGUCCCUCUGUGCCCGGAUUGACGUUUAUCCGAGUGCGAUGCUUAGUUAUGUAUGAUAUCGGCCUGGCUGGGGGCCCUGUCAUACAAGAGUUCCUGUCUGUGCACGUUCGACGGGAUGGAGCGAUGCGAGGGAUGCUGCCGCCGCCACCACCUGACACACCGGGUUGGGUGUGAGACCUGCGCGCAAGGAGUAAGAGCUAGAUCACUUUUUGAUGUAGAUAGUUGACGCUGGUGAUGGGAGGGUUUGUGUUCAUGUGAUGUUAAGGGUCGGAGUCCCUUUUUGAGAUUUUAGGUAGGACAUGGCAGAGUCCUAACCUUUCUGGUUUGUGUACCGACCCGAAGGAAAACCCCAUCUCGCUAUAUGUAUGUAUGUAAGCAAAGCGUCAACGUUAUUUAUAAAAUCAUGAUGUUUAGCUGGUGUGUAUUUGUA